rnacentral:rRNA from 1 species
UACAUGGGGUGCAAACGUUGCUCGGAAUCAUUGGGCGUAAAGCGCUCGCAGGUGGUUCGUCGCGUCGUGCGUGAAAGACCCCGGCUCAACUGGGGAGGGUCGUGCGAUACGGGCGGACUGGAGGCCAGUAGGGGGAUGCGGAAUUCCGGGUGUAGUGGUGGAAUGCGUAGAGAUCCGGAGGAACACCAGCGGCGAAGGCGGCAUCCUGGACUGGUCCUGACACUCAGGAGCGAAAGCGUGGGGAGCGAUCCGG